GCGGGUGGGAAAGGAAGACUGUAUUGCCAUUACCAUGCUAUAGACACUGUAGAGAGCCAGGAUCUGCCUACCUUAUGACGACUACUGCCAAAGAGAUGAACCAUGGAAUAAGGGAGAGAGGAAGCAGAAACAGCUGGAAUGUCUCCUGUGGCUUCAGAGAUGCUCAAGAUACUGGCAACAGCAUAUGCAUCCCCAAGCAGCAUUGCUGGCAUAUACGGAGAGCUUCACAGAUCAUUUGAAAAGGAUGAUAUCUGAGGGAGAAAAUGCAGCUACCAGCCUUGAUGUUCUGUAUUGAUGGAAAUGGAUGAAAUGUCUAUAACACAAGGAAUACCAGUGAGGAGA